AAGUCGUAACAAGGUUUCCGUAGGUGAACCUGCGGAAGGAUCAUUAAUGAUUGCGAAUGGUUACCUUUGGUGCUGGCUCUCGCGAGCAAGUGCACGUUGGUGGCUUUCAUCCACUACUACCCUUGUGAACCUUUGGCCUCUUGCUAGCUUUGGCUGGCAGAGGAUUUUUUACACACACACUCGAAUGUAAUGAAAACGUUUGUCGUGCGCAAGCACUAAUGUACAA
rnacentral:misc_RNA from 1 species